rnacentral:lncRNA from 1 species
GUAGAGAAUCAGAUGUGACUGCGUAACUAUUACUGUCCUUGAUGGAGUCUGCCUGCAAACGGGAUAUUCUGUCAAGGUAUAGAUAGGUAACAGCGGACAUGCUUGAAAACGAGGUGUCUGCUGUCCUUGGGAGGGCCUACUUGCAAAUGAGAGGCUCCUUCAAGGUUUAGAUAAGGUAACAGCGGACAUGCUUGAAAACGAGGUGUCUGCUGUCCUUGGGAGGACUUGCCUGCAAACGGGAUGUUCUGCCAAGUGGGCUAGGAGGGCGCUGAGAAAAAUUUUAUUAUCUGUUCUUAACAAAGAGCAGAGCUCAACAUACUCCGGGCUGAGAAUAGAUUAGCCAUGAGAAGCGGGUCACUUCUGAUUAGAAAGUAAAACUUCUGUAUGCUAUGUUUAAUUAGCUGAAAGACCUGAUUUAUUGAUGUUGGAAGGCUGCCUUCUUUGUUCACAAUACUAUAAAAAGAUUGCUUGUACACAAUAAAGGACUUUUUUUCUGCUGCUG